GUCGUCUAUCAUUUUAUUUUUAGAUCAUAUGUUACUAAUUUUAUGUUUUAUUGUAGUCCAUAUAUGUUGAUAUACUUAUUCCAUGAUAAUUCUAUGUUUAUCCUUUUGUGUGAUAUAAAUUAAAUGUUGAAUGACGGUUCAUGCAAGGAAAGAACAUAUCAAUAUUCGCAUAUUCAUUCAAAAACAUGAAAAUUUUUAAUGGAGUACCCUCAUUUCUUAUUGAAUUCCUAAAAAAAAAGUAUUUAUAAUGAAUUUUAAUAAUUUGUUCGAAUUUUUUUAAAGCUUUAUUUUGACUGAUUCACUCGAUUUUCGAUCCGAAUCAUCGAUUCGUCGAUUCGAAUCGGUUUUUUGGAUACCCAAUCCAGGUCACCGACCCGUUUUUUAAUCCAUUGGGUGAGACAAUACAAAAGGUGAGAGAAACAACUUUACCUAUAGAAAGGGUAUAGAGACAGGUCAAGUCAACAACUAAUAAAAUAUAUUAAACAUAAAAAGUUGGUGACAGCUAGCAUUAGGCCAUACUUUUCCAAUGGAAAAAUUGUGCCUAAAGCAUAGGAAUGAGAAAAAUCGAUAUCAGAGAAUGAAAACAAAGCAGUAACAGAGCAUGGAGAAUAGAGUGCAGCAGAAGGAACAAAAAAAAAGAAACAACAAAGAGCAGAUAGACAGAGAAAUUAACAGAGAGAAGAGAGGUUGACCUUGGGCAUACGCAAUAAUCAGCAAGAUUGCUCCAUUCAGCUUUCUGAGUCAAAACUCAAAACGGUAUUUGAUUGUCGAACAAAUCACAUAUUUAUCAAGAAAUUGAAGGCAAAGGGCAGAUUCGUGAUUCAGUGUUUUUUAGAGCCAAAACAAAAAAACGGAUGCGAGAGAAAAUAGAGAAAAGACUGAAACAGAGAUUAUGGGGGUAGAUAUGUAGAGAGAGAAAAGCGGAGGAGCAAGAGAGAUGAGAGAGAAAACAGAGAAAAUGCCGAGAGAGAUUUGGUGGUAGAUAUUUGAGAGCAGAGAGAUGUGAGAGAGAUUAGAGGAAGACUGAGAGAGAGAACAAAGAGAUCGGGAGCAAGAGGUUAGAAAAGUUUGAGAGAUAUUGGGAGAGAGAUCGAGAGAGAAGAGUAAAGAGAUCAAGAGAGAAGAGCACCAAUGGCAGAGGAGACUAGAGAUCGAGAGAGAAGAGUACCGGUCUUAGAGAGACUAGAGAAAAAGCAUAUCACCAAUGGCAAAGACUUAUGGGCCAAGGUGCUUACAUAGAGAAGCAUUGAAGAGAAACCAGAGAGUCGAAGAGAAACCAGAGAGACUGAUAUUAGAAAAUUUUGCUUUGAUACCACAAGAAAUAAUAUUGGAUUGUAAUUCUAUUGAUGAAUAAGAUUACAAUAUAAUUGUGUAUUUAUAGAGAUGGUACAAUCAAUACUUAUUAAAACUAUAGGAUACAGUUUUUAUAUAGGUAUUUUAUUCAAU
rnacentral:lncRNA from 1 species